GGACAGUGAAGAGGAGGAGGGAUCGGGGCUGGAGCAGAACGGAGAUGGCUUGAGGAGGAGGCUCGAGGACGGCUCGAGGAGGCUGUGGAGGGCUCGAGGAGGCGGUGGAGGCUGUGGAGCGCGAUGAGGGCUCGAGGAGGCGAUGGUGGGUUUUUUAGGGUUUUUUGGAGCGCUGUGGAGGCUGUCGAGCGCUGGGUUUAAUUAUAUACCCUAUAUCUUUAGCCAACGAAAUUUUUAUUUCGUCGGCUAAACCUGUGAAUCUCGUCGGCUAAAGUAAUGAAAUUCGUCGGCUAUAGUACUUUUUAUUUAAUAUUUUCAAUUUAUUUGUUUUAUAUUAUUUUAUUAACUAUAACCGACGAAUUUUCAAUAAUGUCGUCCGCUAUAGUACUUUUUAUACAUUCGGCACAUUGUGAUUGUGAUGAUCAAACUUGAGAAACAAAAAUCCGACCGUCAGAUCUGACCAUCAUAAUAAAAUACAUGUAUGGGAAAAAAUUCAACUUGAUCCGACAAGAUUAAGGGCUCGAUCCGGACGGUCAAUCCCGUAAGUCAAACCCCUAAACGCACAGAAAAGGUCAUUGGACAGUCUAAAUUACGUAUUUUGGCCGGACCUUCAACUUAAAAUAGUUUCAAAUCGAUGAGACGCAACAAGUCGUAUAAAAAUUUUACGGAAAAUAACCACUGAAGAUAGGGCUACCCAUAGGGAGAAAGAAUGAAAAAUUGCAUUGACCGCAACUAUCGGCAGUGAGACUUUACCGAAAUACCGUGAUUUUUCAACCGUAGAUGUAUUUCACCAUUCCGGUCAUAUCUUAUUUCACGACAUUUUUGUGUUUGAAGGAUCUACGUAUAGUUUGUUUUUGAAACGAAACAUUUACUUAACACUUGGUAAACAAGUUAUACAACAUUAGUAGGCAUGUUGUGAUUGUGAUGAUCAAACUUGAGAAAUGAAAAUCCGACCGUCAGAUCUAACCAUCAUGAUAAAAUACAUGUAUGGGAAAAAAUUCAACAUGAUCCGACAAGGUUAAGAGCUCAAUCCGGACGGUUAAUCCCGUAAGUGAAACCCCUAAACGCACGAAAAAGGUCAUUGGACCGUCUAAAUUACGUAUUUUGGCCAGACCUUCAACUGAAAAUAGUUUCAAAUCGAUGAGAUGCAACAAGUCGUAUAUUAGGGUAUUCGUCGGCUAAGGUUUAGGGUUUAGGGUUUAGCCGACGAAAUAUUAGGGUAUUCGUCGGCUAAACUUUUAUAUAAACGUCGGCUAAAGUUCACAGACUAUAGCCGAUGAAAAAAUUUCUUUAGCCGACGAAAUUUUAUAGUUGACCAUAGCCGACAAAAAUUUAAAUUAGUUGACGAAGGAAAAUUUCAUCGGCUAACGUGGACUUUAACCGACGAAAAAAUAAUUUAUCGGCCUGGUUUUUUUAGUUUCGUCGGCUAAAGCCUUUCUUCUGGUAGUGUGCCCCCAAUAGACCCUUCGACGAACCCUUAUUGCCCACAAUAUGAGGUUCUACUAGCCCCAAUAAGAGGUCUUAUUGACCCCAAUAGGUGGUCAUACUGCCCCCAAUAGAAACCCCCGACGAACCCCCUACUUCCCCGAAUAAACCCCAGAAGAAACACCGGUCGCCGGAGUCCAGUCAACGGUUGUCGAAGUCUGUCAACGUCGUUGGAUCCCGAUCAACGGUCACUGGAGUCACGGUCAAUGGUCAUCGGUUGCGAGAAUUCGGUCAUAGAUAUUUAUUUUAAAAUAGACAGUCUAUUGUUCUUAUAAUGGUCUAUUGUAAUUUAUUUAAAUCAUUAAAGAUAUAAUUGUCUUUUUCCUGUUUAAGUUAGCUUUUGAAAAUUUAAAAUCUGAUUUUGUUGGUGGGAAUAAAAUUCUUAAAAUUAGGGCUAAUGGGCAUUAUCUCUUAUUUCUACUUUAAGUGGAAAAUAAUGCCCUACUAUAAACAAAGAACUUAAAAUGAAAACUUUGGUGCUGCUCUAGCUUCUGCUCCAUUAAUUCGGUGAUAGUAAUCUCCUCGAGAUGCUCUUAUGCUCUAUCUACUCUGGUCUUUGUUUAUUCACUUGGCAAUCUUCAUCUUCUUCAUCCUUCUAUCAUGUUCAAAAUGUUGUGAGCUUCUUCUUCAUUAAGAUUCUCUCAGUAGUGACCAUCUGCAUCAUCAGCUUCCAUUGUUGCUAACAUAUUCAAGCCUGCUUUAUGGAGUUGCUCAUAAACCUCUUUGGUGGUCUUAUAUUUCUUGAUAUUUGAUUCUGAUUUAGGGCGGCU
rnacentral:lncRNA from 1 species